CCCUUAGAUGUCCUGGGCCGCACGCGCGCUACACUGAGUGUCUGAGAUACGAGUCUGCCUGGUCCGGCAAGGUCUAGGUAAUCGCUAAAAGACACAUCAUGCUUGGGAUAGAUUAUUGCAAAUAUCAAUCUUGAACGAGGAAUUCCUAGUAAGCGCAAGUCAACAGCUUGCGUUGAUUACGUCCCUGCCCUUUGUACACACCGCCCGUCGCUACUACUGAUUGGAUGUUUAAGCGAGGUUCUCGAACUGCUAGCGACUUAGCUUCGGUGAGGUCGCAGCGUGGGAAGUGAACCUAGCUUUGGUGUCUAGAGGAAGUAAAAGUCGUAACA
rnacentral:rRNA from 1 species